GAUGAACGCUGGCGGCGUGCCUAAUACAUGCAAGUCGAGCGAACGGACGAGAAGCUUGCUUCUCUGAUGUUAGCGGCGGACGGGUGAGUAACACGUGGAUAACCUACCUAUAAGACUGGGAUAACUUCGGGAAACCGGAGCUAAUACCGGAUAAUAUUUUGAACCGCAUGGUUCAAAAGUGAAAGACGGUCUUGCUGUCACUUAUAGAUGGAUCCGCGCUGCAUUAGCUAGUUGGUAAGGUAACGGCUUACCAAGGCAACGAUGCAUAGCCGACCUGAGAGGGUGAUCGGCCACACUGGAACUGAGACACGGGCCAGACUCCUACGGGAGGCAGCAGUAGGGAAUCUUCCGCAAUGGGCGAAAGCCUGACGGAGCAACGCCGCGUGAGUGAUGAAGGUCUUCGGAUCGUAAAACUCUGUUAUUAGGGAAGAACAUAUGUGUAAGUAACUGUGCACAUCUGGACGGUACCUAUCAGAAAGCCACGGCUAACUACGUG
rnacentral:rRNA from 1 species